rnacentral:lncRNA from 1 species
GCCAGGAGACGAAGGAAGGAAAUGAGCAAACUCACUACUGUGUUGCUCCUUCUUCAAGUUUUGACUUCCUUCCGCAAAUCCCCUGCUCUUGUUUACUUUUCAGAGUCCUCGGGUAUUUUGUAUUCUGUCCAGAGUCUUUAGCCGUAAUUAAUGGGACGAAUAAGCUAAAGUGGGCUCACUCCAUCUUUGCUGGCAUCUGAAGCUUGGGAUUUGUUUUGAAUCAGCCUUCAACCCAGCCACACUACCCAGUACCUGCUGGUUCCCCGGCUCCUUCCUCUCCUCUUUACCUUCCACUGUGAUGAAGCGGCCCAUUGACUUCUAGGCACUUGACUUAUCUGCUUAGUGUCUUGGCCUUCGCUGGCAUUCUCCCUCCUGUGGGACAGCUCUUCAAACUCCCUCUCCAGCAGCAGAACAGAAAGAACGUCAGCGGAACAGAAAGGAGUCCCUGCUUUCAGAGGUGGCACAAAGCUCCAGAAUCACCACGGGCUUUGUGCUGGGUCAGCUGGCACCCACCUGGCAGGUUUUAGGAAGAACAAGAGCGUUCGUUUGAAUAGAUGGUCUGAGAAGCAAGCUCCUAGAUGGAGCAUCAAGUGGAACGCCCAUCCCACAGAAACUGAAGUUGGACUCCUUGAGAAGAAUGAUUAA